rnacentral:lncRNA from 1 species
UCUCAAUGAAACAGCCUAUGUUUGAAGGUGCGAGGCAAUUGUGCUACAUUGACUGACCAUUUAAGUUUUUCAACCUUAAGCUUUUGGAGCUAAGUUGAAAGUUAAGGCAUUCUUUUGUCUAACAUGUUUUGGUUAGGAUCGGCAGUUGUUAUCACAUGCUAUGUACUAAGUUGACAGUCAUAACUUUUGGUAGUAUGGAAACAUCUUGCACUGUUCAAUUUGAUUGAAAUGCCUUUGCCUUGACAGUUUCUGACUAAUAUUAGUACCAAAAAAGCCUUGAGAGUCUCUGACUAAUAUUAGUACCAAAAAACUAAAAG